GCGGACGUGGCGAAACCGGUAGCCGCAGCGGACUUAAAAUCCGCUUUCCCAACGGAAGUGCGGGUUCGAGUCCCGCCGUCCGCA
rnacentral:tRNA from 1 species